AUACGUAGGGUGCGAGCGUUGUCCGGAAUUACUGGGCGUAAAGAGCUCGUAGGUGGUUUGUCGCGUCGUCUGUGAAAUUCCGGGGCUUAACUCCGGGCGUGCAGGCGAUACGGGCAUAACUUGAGUACUGUAGGGGAGACUGGAAUUCCUGGGGUGGCGGUGAAAUGCGCAUAUAUCAGGAGGAACACCGGUGGCGAAGGCGGGUCUCUGGGCAGUAACUGACGCUGAGGAGCGAAAGCAUGGGUAGCGAACAGGAUUAGAUACCCUGGUAGUCCAUGCCGUAAACGGUGGGCGCUAGGUGUAGGGGUCUUCCACGACUUCUGUGCCGUAGCUAACGCAUUAAGCGCCCCGCCUGGGGAGUACGGCCGCAAGGCUAAAACUCAAAGGAAUUGACGGGG
rnacentral:rRNA from 1 species